CCUACGGGAGACAGCAGUGAGGAAUAUUGGUCAAUGGACGCAAGUCUGAACCAGCCAUGCCGCGUGCAGGAAGACGGCUCUAUGAGUUGUAAACUGCUUUUAUACGGGGGUAAACUCAUAUACGCGUGUCUUUCUGUAAGUAUCGUACGAAUAAGGAUCGGCUAACUCCGUGCCAGCAGCCGCGGUAAUACGGAGGAUUCAAGCGUUAUCCGGAUUUAUUGGGUUUAAAGGGUGCGUAGGCGGUCGGAUAAGUUAGAGGUGAAAUCCCGAGGCUCAACUGCGGAAUUGCCUCUGAUACUGUCAGGCUAGAGAGCAGUUGCGGUAGGCGGAAUGUAUGGUGUAGCGGUGAAAUGCUUAGAGAUCAUACAGAACACCGAUUGCGAAGGCAGCUCACCAAGCUACUUCUGACGUUGAGGCACGAAAGCGUGGGGAGCAAACAGGAUUAGAUACCCUGGUAGUC
rnacentral:rRNA from 1 species